UUGCAUCCAAUUAAGCCAACAAGAUAUCUCUCAUCACAGGGACCUGGUGUACACUGCUGCAAAUAGCAUCCUCUUUGGGAGUGUAUGCAGUCUAUGGCUUGCUGGAUCGCUCUAAGAGAAGCAGUUAUCU